rnacentral:rRNA from 1 species
UACGUAGGGGGCAAGCGUUGUCCGGAUUUAUUGGGCGUAAAGAGCGUGUAGGCGGCCUGACAGGUCUGCUGUGAAAACUCGAGGCUCAACCUCGAGAUGUCGGCCGAAACCGUCUGGCUAGAGUCCGGAAGAGGAGAGUGGAAUUCCUGGUGUAGCGGUGAAAUGCGCAGAUAUCAGGAAGAACACCUAUGGCGAAGGCAGCUCUCUGGGACGGUACUGACGCUGAGACGCGAAAGCGUGGGGAGCGAACAGG